UACAGAGGGUGCAAGCGUUAAUCGGAAUUACUGGGCGUAAAGCGCACGUAGACGGUUUUUUAAGUCAGAUGUGAAAGCCCCGGGCUCAACCUGGGAAUUGCAUUUGAAACUGGGGAACUAGAGUGUGUGAGAGGGGGGUAGAAUUCCAAGUGUAGCGGUGAAAUGCGUAGAGAUUUGGAGGAAUACCAGUGGCGAAGGCGGCCCCCUGGCACAACACUGACGCUCAGGUGCGAAAGCGUGGGGAGCAAACAGG
rnacentral:rRNA from 1 species